rnacentral:rRNA from 1 species
UACGUAGGGACCAAGCGUUGUUCGGAUUUACUGGGCGUAAAGGGCGCGUAGGCGGCUUAACAAGUCACUUGUGAAAUCUCCGGGCUUAACUCGGAACGGCCAAGUGAAACUGUCAAGCUAGAGUGCAGAAGGGGCAAUCGGAAUUCUUGGUGUAGCGGUGAAAUGCGUAGAUAUCGAGAGGAACACCUGCGGCGAAGGCGGGUAGCUGGGCCGACACUGACGCUGAAGCGCGAAAGCUAGGGGAGCGAACGGG